ACUUACGGCCAUACCAGCCUGGGUACGCCCGAUCUCGUCUGAUCUCGGAAGCUAAGCCGGGUCGGGCCUGGUUAGUACUUGGAUGGGAGACCGCCUGGGAAUACCAGGUGCUGUAAGCA
rnacentral:rRNA from 1 species